UACGAAGGGGGCUAGCGUUGCUCGGAAUUACUGGGCGUAAAGCGCACGUAGGCGGCUUCUUAAGUCGGUGGUGAAAUCCUGGAGCUCAACUCCAGAACUGCCUUCGAUACUGGGAGCUCGAGUCCGGGAGAGGUGAGUGGAACUGCGAGUGUAGAGGUGAAAUUCGUAGAUAUUCGCAAGAACACCAGUGGCGAAGGCGGCUCACUGGCCCGGUACUGACGCUGAGGUGCGAAAGCGUGGGGAGC
rnacentral:rRNA from 1 species